GCAUCGAUGAAGAACGCAGCGAAGUGCGAUAAGCAGUGCGAAUUGCAGAACCGUGAGUCAUCAGAUUUUUGAACGCAACUGGCGCCAGCUGGCUCUCCAGCUGGCAUGCUUGUUUCAGUGUCUUGUUUUCUCCUCACCCAGAUCUUAAUGCUUGAGAUACCCUUCUCUUGCUAAGUUCGAAUGCACUCUACAUUCUGCAGGCAGCCUUGACUUGUCAAGGGUUGCACUCAAUGCAGCAGUCACAUUUCUAAUGUGAACUCAUUGAGAGUAGAAGUAGCGCAGCUUGUCUGCUAGUGCUUAGUCACUCAAACUUUACUUGCAUCUGAAAUCAAGCAGGAUAACCCGCUGAACUUAAGCAUAUCAAUAAGCGGAGGAA
rnacentral:misc_RNA from 1 species